UACGAAGGGGGCUAGCGUUGUUCGGAAUUACUGGGCGUAAAGCGCGCGCAGGCGGGUUAUUAAGUCAGAGGUGAAAUCCCAGAGCUCAACUCUGGAACUGCCUUUGAAACUGGUGACCUUGAGUACGGGAGAGGUGAGUGGAAUUCCCAGUGUAGAGGUGAAAUGCGUAGAGAUUGGGAAGAACACCGGUGGCGAAGGCGGCUCACUGGCCCGUAACUGACGCUCGGGCGCGAUAGCGUGGGGAUCAAACAGG
rnacentral:rRNA from 1 species